GACAGAGGGGGCAAGCGUUGCUCGGAAUUACUGGGCGUAAAGGGCGCGUAGGCGGAAUGGCAAGUCGGUCGUGAAAUCCUUCGGCUCAACCGAAGAACGUCGAUCGAAACUGCCGUUCUUGAGGAUUGCAGAGGAGACUGGAAUUCCCGGUGUAGCGGUGAAAUGUGUAGAGAUCGGGAGGAAUACCGGUGGCGAAGGCGGGUCACUGGCCCGAUACUGACGCUGAGGCACGAAAGCGUGGGGAGCAAACAGG
rnacentral:rRNA from 1 species